rnacentral:tRNA from 1 species
GUCUUUGUAGUAUAAUAAUUACCUUGGUCUUGUAAACCAAAAACGGAGAAUUAAAUAACUCCCCAAGACU